AGGAUGUUCAAAAGGAGCUGGACAAUGAGGGGAACGCACCCAAGCUGCGUGUUUGGAUCACAGAGGGGUGAAAAGCAAGGCCAAUGAAGGGUGAAAGGGAGGUGCGAAGAUGACUGAAGGCAUGGUCAAAAAGGAAGUUUGUUUAAAAUCACAUCAGCGUCUGAAACUGACAUAGUAACAUCAGCACCCACUGUUAGUUAGCGGAAGUUGAUGCUCAUCCAGGCUGAUGUGGACGACCAAGCGGACAGAACAUCAAUGGGCCUGGGCUUGCAACUAGAGGAAGAGGUCGAGGAAAGGAUUCUUACGGUUAAAAACCACAUUGUUCUCCUUGAAUUCCUUCCAUUGCUGGUACCACUUGGAGUCUUUGUGCAGCACCAUCCCCAUGGCCUCCCUGUAAGACAACAAGUGCAGUUCAUCACUGGAUGUAAAGUUACUGGAUUUAAAACAACUCUAACAACA